ensembl:lncRNA
GGGCUGACUCCCAAGGAGGAAGAAUCUCUAUCUAGAGAUCCCUCCUCUUGGAGCCCUUCUGCAAGCUCAGGACACAGAAUGAGCAGAAUAAAUUUGGAUUCAUGCCUGCAGUGGCUUAAUACCAGAUGAUACCCUCACAGCCUCUCACUAAUUCAUCUCAGCUGGAGACAGAAAGAAAAUAGAAGGGGAUUGAGAAAACUCAAGAAUUAAUAUGUUUUAUAGAAAAAAACAUGCAUAAAUAUGUGCAGUUGUGGUUAACCUGGCAAGCAGCUGAACAACAUAUGUUCUUUCCCUCAUUUCCCAUCUUCCCAGUGGGGUAGGAGAGAAUAAAAGAAGUGAAACUCAUAGGCUGAGAUAAAAAAAAAAUACUAUUUACUAAGAUAAGG